rnacentral:tRNA from 2 species
CACUAAGAAGCUAAACCGGUUAAAGCGUUAGCCUUUUAAGCUAAAGACUGGUGACUACCUCCCACCCUUAGUGG